rnacentral:rRNA from 1 species
GAUAAACGCUGGCGGUGUGCUUUAUGCAUGCAAGUCGAACGGUUCUGAUUUAUCAGAAUAGUGGCAGACGGGUGAGUAACACGUAAGCAACCUGCCCUUAAGUAGGGGAUAACUUCGAGAAAUUGAAGCUAAUACCGUAGCGGUGGUGGGAUGAUGUUUCAUCACUAAAGCCUUCGGGCGCUUAGGGAGGGGCUUGUGGCCGAUUAGCUAGUUGGAAAGGUAAUGGCUUACCAAGGCGAUGAUCGGUAGCUGAUUUGAGAGGAUGUUCAGCCACACUGGGACUGAGAUACGGCCCAGACUCCUACGGGAGGCAGCAGCAAGGAAUUUUGUGCAAUGGGCGAAAGCCUGACACAGCGACACCGCGUGGGGGAUGACAGCCUUCGGGUUGUAAACCCCUUUUAUUAGGGAAGAAUAAUGACGGUACCUAAUGAAUAAGCAUCGGCUAACUACGUGCCAGCAGCCGCGGUAAUACGUAGGAUGCAAGCGUUAUCCGGAUUUACUGGGCGUAAAGAGGGCGUAGGCGGCUUUUCAAGUCGGAUGUAAAAUCUCCCAGCUCAACUGGGAGGGACCAUUCGAUACUGCUAAGCUAGAGUGCAGCAGGGGGAGACGGAAUUCCCGGAGUAGUGGUGAAAUGCGUAGAUAUCGGGAGGAACACCAGUGGCGAAGGCGGUCUCCUAGGCUGUUACUGACGCUGAGGCCCAAAAGCGUGGGGAGCGAACAGGAUCAGAUACCCUGGUAGUCCACGCCGUAAACAAUGGACACUAGGUAUAGGGAGUAUCGACCCUCUCUGUGCCGUAGCUAACGCGUUAAGUGUCCCGCCUGGGGAGACGGCCGCAAGGCU